GCCACAUCAGGUAAAAAAAUUAGUUGGUAAAAAAGGUUGUGACAAAUGGUAAUUUUCUUAUACAAGUCAUUCACCAUAACUUUCCUAAUUGAGUGGAAACCAAACAAUUACAUGGAUGUUUUCCAACAAAGAAACUAAUUUGUAAUAAUUCAUAGUUUCAAUUGUGUAUACACCUGAACCACAAGUUUUGCUUAACUACAUUCUUAUACAGGAAGAAGAUCAGAUAACAGAAAGGCUACAAUUGGAUCAAAUUCUUAAAACAAUAGGUACCAAGAAGAAACCAACCCACUAGAAGGAAGGUGAAGAAGGCCAAAAAAGUUAGAAAGGUCAAGCCACCAAAUACCAGUCCCAUACCACAUACCACAACAAAUGGCAAGUAAGAUCGCACCAUUGAUCCUGUACUGACCCAAUGACCCUUGAUGAACAUCAAAGCAGCAAGGUUCACCACAUUCCACCCACCAGAAUGAAAACCCAAUCGGUUUAGGCUGUUGGCAACAAAAGAGUGGCAAUUGCAAGUAAAGAGACUGUACGAGUGAUGUUGAAAUUCCUGUGUGCUCUUCCGUAAUCCAUCAUCCCAUGUCCAUGUCUCUCUUUGAGUUAGAUCCAGGUCAUACUCAUCAUCCUCACUUUUGAAUACAGAUCGAUGGAGAGAAAUGGAACAUUCCUGGUCAACAUUCAAGGGGAAAAGUUAAACAAAGAAGUUAAAAUAAACCAAUAAGCAUGUACGUCAAGGCAGCUUUUACUUCAUUACAUUUUAUACAAUAUAAGAUGCCAGCUUGUAAUAGAACAGCGCUGCACACCACGUCAAGGCACAAAGGCAUACAUCAAUCAAUUUACCGUCAAAAGUAUAGUCAAUGUCAUAGAAUCCAAGUCGAUCUUUUAAAAUGAUUGUCAAGUGCCCACAAUAAUGCACCCCAUGAGGGCCACCCAUAUUUCAGUCUAAUCAUUGCAGAAGCAUAAACCUAAUUCAGACUUAAGAUUAAAAAAAAAAAAUUGAAAUAUACCUUUUUUUUGUCAAUCUGUAUGUAACGAGUCACAGCACCAAAUGCAAAAUUGUCAACACACACAAAAUUAGGCCCUGCAAAGUCCAGGAUUACUCCAUCCUCUCUACAUAUGCCAAUAUGGCCAAUGAAAGGAAUCAGCCAUGAUAUUACAGGAAGGGGUGUCCAGACAAUGCAGUAGGGAAACCGUGCUCUUUUAGGAUCAAUCUGCAUGCUUUUUGGAUCUUCAAAAAUCAUCUGGUGUUCAGGGUCCACAUUUUCCUCCAUCACCAAAAGUUGUGAAACACUAGAUUUACCUCAAUAAAUUAGAUGCUCAAGAAAAUAAAUGAACUUGACGACAUAUAUAUAAGUUUUAUUGGAGUGAAAUUUUGCAAAUCAAUAUGUAAAGUUUAAGCAAAAUCCAAUAAUCCAGUAAUACUAAAAAGCUCAUGUUUAAUGAAUUUUACACAUAUCAAGGGAAAAGAAAACAAGUUUAUUAAGUUAAACAUUGCUGAAACAUGAUACUAUUCUGCACGAUCAAAGUUAGGAAACACACUAAGAAAGUAGCUUAAAGUAUAAGCAUUUGCUAACAUAAAUUUUUUAUCUAGUCUACGUUCCAAGGACUCAAUCACUCUAAGAAAUCCUUCAUAAAGCUUCUAUUAUUUGAUCCUACAUCCUGUAAAAAGCAAUUCAUUUGAAUAAUGCAAAACUUCAAAUUUCUUUUUUUUUUUAUAAAACCUUCAUUAGGGCAUUACAUAUUUGGACUCUUCACAAGCAUUCGUUCGCUGCAGUUACCCAUUCUAGACAGAAACAUUUCUGGUUUGCUCCUUCCAUAAUACAUAUAUAACUCAUUACACGAGAAUAUUUUCCUAGUAAAUUCAUCAAGCAGCACAUGGCCAUUAGUUACUAACCUACACUUAGAUCCAACAGAACCCUCCAUUCCACCUAAACCCCCAAGCGCAUGCAUCUGAUAGAAGAAUUUUACUAAAGAAAGAGAUAGACAGAUUAAGAGCAGAGAAAAAGAAGAAGAAUCACACUUUUCAUUAGAAUCAGAAUGAGUACAUCUCACCAAUUACAUCUUAUUUAUCUAACUACUUCUCAGAUUCUUCCAUGAGCCUCGCCUGAUCAUCAGCCGGAUCUUCGCUAUACUUGCCACGUGUCUGUAUACAACAGCUCAGCUUAACAAUCUCAACUGUUCUGUUAUUUCUCUUGCCCACCACUUAAUCCCUACGCUGCGUUUUAUUAUUGUUGCUAUUUUUCUUGUAUCAGCAUCCAAAAUCUCAUCUACUUCCCUUUUGUUAGCAUACACGGAAGAGUCAACCCUAAAGUUCAGUUCAAAAUUCAAUUCACUUCCUUACGUUGCAUAUAUCGAACAACCAAGUGAACCUCCCGAAUUCUAACAACACCGCAUUUCAAAUUGGGUCCUACCCACUUAUCAAAAUUUGCUAUUAUCGUGUAUUAUACACGUAUUGUGCAAUAGGGGUAAGUUAAACCAAUAUUUAAAUCAACCAAAUGGGUAAUUACUAAUCAGUCACCUUCUAUACAAAUUUUAAGCUGAUUUCUUAAUAGCAAUAAUCAAAUGAUAUGAAGUCAAAGUUAGUAGAUGUAAUUAAGGGAAUCAAUAUCAAAAAAAUUGCACCCAAAAAAAAAUGCACAAGCAUGAUUCAGAUUGUAACCGAUUCAUAUCACUGAAUGCAGGGGAAACGAUAAAUGUUAAGUAUAGAAGAAAAAAAUUGAACAUAAAGACGAAUUUUAUAGAAAGGAGAUGAAGAAAAUACCUUCAAAGGGAAGAAGAAGCAGGCGAAGGGCGAUCCAUUCUGGUUGGGGUGAUACUGGGAAAAUGGG
rnacentral:misc_RNA from 1 species